rnacentral:lncRNA from 1 species
CAAAAAGGAAACGAAGAAGACGAAAGUGAGUGCAAAGCAAGUAGAAUCACAGGAAUGGUCUUUUCAGUAGGUUUUGAGGAUUUCUGAAGUCCGAGACAUAAAGGGAAUGUGCAGGAAGGAAAGGAGAUGGUCAUAAACGAAGUAAAGGAAAUUGAAAUAAGAGGGCUGUGUUUUUUAGUAAUGGCAAAUUAGGGUAGUUGAGACAGGUGGAAGACAAAAUCUUUUUUUUUUUCCUUUUUUUGGAGACGGAGUCUCAUUUUGUCAUCCAAGCUGGAGUGCAGAGGCGUGAUCUAGGCUCACUGCAACCUCUCGGAUUCAAGGGAUUUUCCUGUCUCAGCCUCUCAGAAGAGAACAUCUUCAUAGGAGAGGAGCUCUAGGAACUGAGAAUGCAGGAAAUUGGAAGAAAUAUACAUUAAUAGCCAAGAAUUUAGACAGGACUGGGGAGCCAGGAACAAACAUUUGAGAUGUUGGGCUUUUAAUGGAGUUGCCACGGAUGACAGCAUCAUGAGAAAUGAGGUUUAAAAAUGGAGGAUUGUUCGAGGAGGGAGGAGGGCUGAUCUGAAAGCCACAAGGAGGACAAAUGGAACACCUACCCCCACUACAGGCUGGAAGAAAUAAAAUUCUCCAUUUCCCAGAGACCUCUAGAAAAGAACUCUCUACCUCUUCAUGGGAAUAUACUUUUGCUGCAAGAAAAUAAAAUGUUUUCUCUUUAUCUCUUCAUGGCAGACCUAAGUGUGAGAAAAAGGUUGCUGGUGAUUUACCACACCACAGCCUGAGUACACCCAGGCACGCAUCUUUAAAACAUGCCCAAAGAUAUCUCUGUGAAAUGUAUUCAGUAGUGGAUUCCAGUAUUCACAGCCUUCAUUUACACAGUUCACUUUAUUUAAUUUGUACUUACUGGUAAUAUUAAGUAAUCAGAGUUCAUAUCCUUGGGAAAAUUCUCCCCUGAAGGCCAAUUCAUUCGUAAUAAAAACCACAUUUUGAGCAGUGAGUGAAUCCAGCUGGUUGCACUAGUAAGCCAUUUUCAUUUUUUAUAGCACAUUUCAGCUUUCCAAGUAUUGCAUAUUUGUAUGGGAGAAAUGUUUUCUGAAGUCAAGCUUAAUGAAACAUGAAGUCAAUGAUAUAUGCAAACAUCUAUUUAUUCCUCUGCUGUCUGGGAAGUUUUGAUCAAGAAAACACUUCUGCUCAUUAGAGAAUUGACCAGAUGCAGUGCUAUUAACAUUUCUGUGAUCAAAUAAAGCUCACCCAGAUGAAAGAAGAAUUGCAACACUAACAGCCUGGAAGCACUCAACCGUGGAGAUAUUACCCCCAAAAGUGAAGCAUGCUAAGAUACAAAACAAACUGACUUCAAGCACAUCUGAUUAACAUGGCCAUUGUUAACUUUCCCACUACUUGGGCAGACUUUAAACCUGCUUAUGGAUAAACAGUCAUAUGAUGCUGGUAUAAGAACCUUCAUUUUAUAUCAGUGUAAUUCCUCUAAUGCACAUGUUCUUCAUGUUUUAUAGAAAAUCUGCAAUUUGAUUAUUUUUGUUUACUCCCUCAGUACAUGUACCCUGAGACAAAACUAAACUGAUUCCAUAUAUAGAAUCUUCAAAAACAAAUUUUGUUAAAGAUGUGUUUUUGUUAGAAGUUUUAGCAAAACUGUGUUAAGUUAGAAAGACACAAGUAAUUUAUAACUUCAUGGCCAAUUUAAUGUCACUUCUUUCCCCAGUCUUCUCUCCUCCAUAUUUGUCUACAUUCUUACUAUCAUUUUCUGCUUAUUCUUUGCUCAUUACUAUAUUUGAUAAUACCAACAAUAAGGCAUUUUAAAAGUUUGUUGCUGAUUUGACUAAGAACAUCUCAGUAAUCCAACUGAACUGUACUUCACUGUGUGAUUUUAGAAUGCUUUUCACUAAGUUUAGCAAAAAGCUUCAGAGAAUUGUUAGGAUCCUUUUGAAGUAGUUUUUUUUUUUUCUUUUGUUAGUAAUACGUACCAUCAAACACACACGUUCUUGUGUGCUACUUAUCAG